rnacentral:sRNA from 1 species
AGAGAAGAGAAAUCUCUUCCAUAGAAUUUUUUAUCUUAAGAUAGUAUGGUUGGACAAGGGUAGUAAUACAAGCGUGGAGUAUUCCACACCAGGAGGCACUAUUAUGGAACAAGGUACAGUGAAAUGGUUUAAUGCAGACAAAGGCUUCGGCUUUAUCGAAAUUGAAGGCGGAGACGAUGUAUUCGUACAUUUCAGCUCUAUUCAAGGUGAAGGCUUUAAAUCGCUAGAAGAAGGUCAAAAAGUGACGUUUGAUAUCGAACAAGGCCAACGUGGAGCACAAGCUGCUAACGUUCAUAAAGUAGCAUAAUUAAAACUAAAAAAGACUCCACAUAGGGGUCUUUUUGCU